rnacentral:misc_RNA from 1 species
CACUUUAGAUAACCAAUGAAUAAAAAAAUGAAAAAAAUAUAUUUGAUACGAUUAGUUCUGACACUUAGUAAACUACGUCAGUAAAUUUUUCUGAGGUAUUCCAUGUACAAUGUUAAAUAACAGAAGGGUAAAACGCAAGGAUCCCCUUCAUCCCUGUGACAACAUAUUUAUUCUCACAGUUACCUCCUUAGGGUUUCUAAUAUGCCAAACCAUCAUUACAGGAUAUCAUUAGCUACCAUCUAAAUUCCUAUCACCACCUACUCCCUUUACCCCCUUUUAUUCUUAAUUCCCCUCUUGUGACAUUUAUAUAUAAUCUUAAAUCAUUUUUGAAACUUCAACCUUAGAUAAUAUCUCCAUGGAUUCCAU